UACGUAGGGGGCAAGCGUUGUCCGGAUUUAUUGGGCGUAAAGAGCGUGUAGGCGGCUUGGUAGGUCCGCUGUGAAAACUCGAGGCUCAACCUCGAGAUGUCGGCGGAAACCACUUGGCUAGAGUCCGGAAGAGGAGAGUGGAAUUCCUGGUGUAGCGGUGAAAUGCGCAGAUAUCAGGAAGAACACCUAUGGCGAAGGCAGCUCUCUGGGACGGUACUGACGCUGAGGAGCGAAAGCAUGGGUAGCGAACAGG
rnacentral:rRNA from 1 species